rnacentral:rRNA from 1 species
CGGGAAGAGCUCAAAUUUGAAAUCUGGCGUGCUCAGUGCGUCCGAGUUGUAAUCUAUAGAGUCGUUUUCCGUGCCGGACUGUGUCCAAGUCCCUUGGAACAGGGUAUCAAAGAGGGUGAUAAUCCCGUACUUGACACAAUGACCGGUGCUCUGUGAUACGUCUUCUACGAGUCGAGUUGUUUGGGAAUGCAGCUCAAAAUGGGUGGUGAGUUCCAUCUAAAGCUAAAUAUUGGCGAGAGACCGAUAGCGAACAAGUACCGUGAGGGAAAGAUGAAAAGCACUUUGGAAAGAGAGUUAAACAGUACGUGAAAUUGUUAAAAGGGAAACGAUUGAAGUCAGUCGUGACUGAGAGGCUCAGCCGGUUCUGCCGGUGUAUUCCCCUCAGUCGGGUCAACAUCAGUUUUGUUCGGUGGAUAAGGGCAGUUGGAAGGUGGCACCCUCGGGUGUGUUAUAGCCAGCUGUCGCAUACAUCGGAUGAGACUGAGGAAUGCAGCUCGCCUUUAUGGCCGGGGUUCGCCCACGUUCGAGCUUAGGAUGUUGACAUAAUGGCUUUAAACGACCCGUCU